rnacentral:tRNA from 1 species
GUUUCCGUAGUGUAGUGGUUAUCACGUGAGUCUAACACACUCAAGGGUUCCGGUUCGAGCCCGGGCGGAAACU